UUAGGAAUACCUACAAAGCUACGAGAAGAAUGGCUUGGUUUAGGCUAUGAUGAAGGACGUGGCAAGCUGCGAUAAGCGUGAGGGAGAUGCAUGCAAUCUUUGAUCUCAUGAUUUCCUAAUCAGAAACUGUUUUCAAGUUUACUUGAAAAGUUUGUAACGAGGUAACUUGUUAUAAAUGUGAACCCAGGGAAUUGAAACAUCUUAGUACCUGGCGGAAAAGAAAACAAACGCGAUUCCCCUAGUAACAGCGAGCGAAAAGGGAAGAUGGCAAACCGAAUCCCUGUAUGAAAGUAUAGGGAGAUGUGGAGUUGAGCAAGUUACUCCUGGGACUUUUAAUUCGAAGUGUUCUGGAAAGAAUUGCCGAAGAGGGUGAUAGCCCCGUAGAGGAGAAAGUUAUGGAGAUUUCUUGUUUUCAAGAGUAGCGCAUCCUGGCUUGGGUGUGUGAAUAUGGCUGAACUAACAGCUAACUUUAAAUAUGAGUCUAAAUCCGAUAGCGCACUAGUACAGUGAUGGAAGGCUGAAAAGUACCUUUGGCGAGGAGUCAAAAGACCUGAAAUCUCGUAGUUAUAGUUUGUUACUGCUCUACGGAGUUGUAACGUACGUUUUGAAAAACGGGCCAGGGAGUUAAGUUAAGUGGCGAGGUUAAUUCAUUUUCAUGAAGAAGCCAAAGCGAAAGCGAUUCUGAAAAAGAUCCUGCGAAAGUGGGAGAGUCACUUGGUUUAGACCUGAAGCCGGGCGAUCUAUUCGUGGACAGGAUGAAGUUUCCUUUACGGGAAAUGGAGGUCCGAACAGGUGCUGUGUGCAUGCGCUCUGAUGAUCUGCGAAUAGGGGUGAAAGGCCAAUCUAGCUCGGCGUUGGCUGGUUCCUGUCGAAAUAUACCUACGUAUAGUCUCUUCUAUCAUGUUAGCGAGGUAGAGCCACGGAUUAGAAAUGCGGGCGGAUUUUUCCGUCGGUUUCCAGUUCAACUCCGAACUUGUUAACUGUUCAUGAAGGGAAACUGGGGUGGGGGGUAAGCUUCUACUCCGAAACUCGAACAAGAGAGACUAUGGUUAAGGUCCCUAAAUACUAACUAAGUGUUAUGAAAGGAGUUUUCAUCCUGAGACAGUAGGAAGGUAGGCUUAGAAGCAGCCACCCUUUAAAGAAAGCGUAACAGCUCACCUAUCAAGGAUAGAAGCACUGAAAAUUGACGGGGCUAAGUUAGUUACCGAUACCAUGGUGGUUCCUUUUUAAGGAAUUCAGGUAGACAGGCGUACUGUUUGGGUAGAAGUUUGCACGUAAGUGUGGAUGGACCGGACAGUAACGAGAAUCCUGGCGUCAGUAGGAUCAGACUUGUGUGAGAAUCACAAGGGUCGUAAGGGCAAGGUUUCCUUGGCAAUGUCGAUCAGCCAAGGGUUAGCCGGUCCUAAGAAGUACCUUAACUGAGUACUUCAAAUGGGAAGCAGGUUAAUAUUCCUGCGCUGUUUGUUAGUUAUGAAAUUAUUAGAGACACUUCGGGAUAAGCAGAGGGUAUUUGCAAAAACCUCUUCUGCAAGAAAGUUAUGGAGUAUUGUAAUGAUGAGAAGUAAUGGAAUUGUAGAAGCCAAAGUUUGUUGAGUCCUGGAGUCCAUGAAAAUUUAGUAAUGAAGUUAAUAAAUAUCCGUACCAAGAACAUGCACUUGUGCCCUCCCUGAAAAGGGGAAGACCUGAAAGUCUAAAGUUUGUAAGGGAAUUCGGCAAAUUAGUCCUGUACCUUCGGUAGAAGGGAUGCCUAUAAAUGUGUUUUUUAGAAAUAGGAAAUGCAUUAGUAGGUCUCAGUAACAAGGGUGGCCCGACUGUUUACCAAAAACGUAGCUGAGUGCAAGGUCGAAAGGCUUAGUACACUCAGUGAAGUCUGCCCAGUGGUGGUGUCUGAAACUCUUUUUCAAGGGAGCUAAGGCCCAUUAAACGGCGGCGGUAACUCUGACUGUCUUAAGGUAGCGUAAUACCUUGUCAUUUGAAUAGUGACUUGCAUGAAAGGCUUAACGAGGUUGCCACUGUCCCUAUGAACUGACUUCUGAACUCUCCAUCCUGGUGCACGGGCCAGGGACAUCUAGUGGGAAGCGAAGACCUUGUGGACCUUUACUGCAGCUUGUUGUUGUGCUUUUUUGUUAAGUACAUAGUGUAGCUGGGAGAGAUGAUGUGUAGCUUAGGCAAAGCGGAUCACCGAUGUAACACCAGCUAUUUGAUAAAGAAUCACUUACUCUUUUGAAAGAAAGGGAACAGCGGCAGGUGGGCAGUUUGGCUGGGGCGGCUCCUUUUGAAAAGAUAUCAAAAGGGCCCUAAGGCGAGCUCAGUUGUGUCGGAAACACAACGUAGAGUGCAGAGGCAAAAGCUCGCUUGACUGUGUUCUUACCAGAAGUGAACGCAGAGUUGAAAGACUGGCUUAGCGAACCUCCAUAGUCUCUUAGUGGGACUUGGAGAUAACAGAAAAGGUACCCCAAGGAUAACAGGCUUGUCGCCCCCGAUAGUUCACAUUGACGGGGCGGUUUGGUACUCCGCUGUCGGCUCUUCCUAUCCUGGCUGUGCAGAAGCAGCCAAGGGUACCGGGGUUCACGCGUUAAAAGGGAUCGUUAGCUGGGUUCAGAACGUCGCGAGACAGUUUGUAUGAUAUCUACUAGAUGUGUUGUUGUCUAAGUGGAACGAAGCUUCAGUACGAGAGGAACGAGUUUCGGAAGCCUCUGGUGUAGCUGUUGUUUUUAUAGAGCACGCAGCGCAGCCACGCUUUGUAUUGAUAAGCGCUGAAAGCAUCUAAGUGCGAAGCAAUCCGCGAAAAUAGAUAACUAAGGCCGUUGUAAAAGACAACGUUGAUAGAGUUGGUGUGUAAGUUCCGAGCUUCGGCGAGUAAUUUAGCAUGCAACUACUAAAAGCCUCACUUUAUUCCUAA
rnacentral:rRNA from 1 species